GAUGGAUUUAGCAGAGGCAUGCAUUGGCUGCUUGACAUUUUCCUGGAAGAGGACACCAACUAGCUAACACAGUCAAUGACAUAUGUCUCUUUGAAUUGAUAAAAUCAUAAUCAAAUGGAUAUAAUACUGAAGUUUCAAAGAUCUGUUUUGAUGUAGCCUGAAGAUUUUGUAAUGAAUGAUCCAGGAUCCAAAAGUUCUUCGCAGGAGUUCAAAGACAGUUGCAAUGUGGUUGCUAAUUUAGUGACAGAUUAAGGUAAUUCAAUUUAGAUAAGGAUAAGGAUUAAUACAGACAUGUAUCCAGUCACCCCCAACCCAAGAAGUUCAAACAAGCAUUGUCAUGGGAAAACAUGAAAAAAUAAGAAGUUGGAGGUGGACAAAAAUCAGGAUGAAUAUACUAGAGAAACUAUUAAAGCACAGAAGAAUGACAACAAUAUAAAUCUAAAUGUAAUCAUUCAAGGAAUUAAAUUCAUUUUUAAUCUCGAAACUGUCUUUUUUCUGUAACUCUAGCUUUAGAUUAACAAGAAGCUGGAAAUACAAAAUGAAUGUUUCCAAAGAUCCACUGAAGUAACUGAGUAAUCAAUUGAAGUGAUUCAAGCAGCAAGAUGAAGUAUAUCAAGAAUGAACUGAAAAAUUAAAAAUAUUCAAGUAAUUUAAUUUUAAGCAAUUUACAUGCGAUAUGUAUGUAAUUCAUGUGAAAAACGUGCGUUGGAUCCACAUACGUAAAACAUAUGGAAUGUAUUACGUAUGUCUAACACACGUGUAACAUACGUUUCACAUAUGUUCAUUAACGUACGUUAAACACACGUGGUACUUAAAUCACGUUAAACGUACGUGAGGUCACAUACGUAUCACACACGUUUAACGUAUGUGAAACAUAUGUGGCACAUUUUGCU